rnacentral:rRNA from 1 species
GCAUAUCAAUAAGCGGAGGAAAAGAAACCAACAGGGAUUGCCUCAGUAACGGCGAGUGAAGCGGCAACAGCUCAAAUUUGAAAUCUGGUCCCCUCUGGGGGCCCGAGUUGUAAUUUGAAGAGGAUGCUUUUGGCGAGGCGCCGUCCGAGUUCCCUGGAACGGGACGCCGCAGAGGGUGAGAGCCCCGUACGGUCGGACGCCGAGCCUCUGUAAAGCUCCUUCGACGAGUCGAGUAGUUUGGGAAUGCUGCUCAAAAUGGGAGGUAAACCCCUUCUAAAGCUAAAUACCGGCCAGAGACCGAUAGCGCACAAGUAGAGUGAUCGAAAGAUGAAAAGCACUUUGAAAAGAGAGUUAAAAAGCACGUGAAAUUGUUAAAAGGGAAGCGCUUGCGACCAGACUUGCGCCCGUCGGAUCAACCGUCGCUUGCGGCGGCGCACUCCGGCGGGCUCAGGCCAGCAUCAGUUCGCUCGGGGGGAGAAAGGCGGCGGGAAUGUAGCUCCUCGGAGUGUUAUAGCCCGCCGUGUAAUACCCUCGGGUGGACUGAGGACCGCGCGUAUGCAAGGAUGCUGGCGUAAUGGUCGUCAGCGACCCGUCUUGAAACACGGACCAAGGAGUCGUCCUAAUAUGCGAGUGUACGGGUGUCAAACCCCUGCGCGUAAUGAAAGUGAACGGAGGUGAGAGCUUCGGCGCAUCAUCGACCGAUCCUGAUGUUAUCGGAUGGAUUUGAGUAAGAGCAUAUUGGGCCGGACCCGAAAGAAGGUGAACUAUGCCUGUGUAGGGUAAAGCCAGAGGAAACUCUGGUGGAGGCUCGCAGCGGUUCUGACGUGCAAAUCGAUCGUCAAACAUGGGCAUGGGGGCGAAAGACUAAUCGAACCUUCUAGUAGCUGGUUUCCGC